rnacentral:tRNA from 3 species
AGAGAGGUGUCCGAGUGGUUGAAGGAGCAAGCCUGGAAAGUUUGUAUGCGGGUAACUGCAUCGAGGGUUCGAAUCCCUUUCUCUCUACUA